rnacentral:rRNA from 1 species
UACGUAGGGGGCUAGCGUUGUCCGGAAUCAUUGGGCGUAAAGCGCGCGUAGGCGGCCCGGUAAGUCCGCUGUAAAAGUCCAGGGCUCAACCCUGGAAAGCCGGUGGAUACUGUCGGGCUCGAGUCCGGAAGAGGCGAGUGGAAUUCCUGGUGUAGCGGUGGAAUGCGCAGAUAUCAGGAGGAACACCGGUGGCGAAGGCGGAUCUCUGGGCCUGUCCUGACGCUGAGGCGCGAAAGCUAGGGGAGCGAACAGG